AUAAACAAUUUAAUGCUUUGUAAAAAGUUAGAAGCUUUUAAUAUAAUAUUUCUUU
rnacentral:tRNA from 1 species